rnacentral:rRNA from 4 species
UUAAGUUAGAAAGGGCGCACGGUGGAUGCCUUGACACUAGGAGUCGAUGAAGGACGGGACUAACGCCGAUAUGCUUCGGGGAGCUGUAAGUAAGCUUUGAUCCGAAGAUUUCCGAAUGGGGAAACCCACCAUACGUAAUGGUAUGGUAUCCUUAUCUGAAUACAUAGGGUAAGGAAGACAGACCCAGGGAACUGAAACAUCUAAGUACCUGGAGGAAGAGAAAGCAAAUGCGAUUUCCUGAGUAGCGGCGAGCGAAACGGAACAUAGCCCAAACCAAGAGGCUUGCCUCUUGGGGUUGUAGGACAUUCUAUACGGAGUUACAAAGGAACGAGGUAGACGAAGCGACCUGGAAAGGUCCGUCGUAGAGGGUAACAACCCCGUAGUCGAAACUUCGUUCUCUCUUGAAUGUAUCCUGAGUACGGCGGAACACGUGAAAUUCCGUCGGAAUCUGGGAGGACCAUCUCCCAAGGCUAAAUACUCCCUAGUGAUCGAUAGUGAACCAGUACCGUGAGGGAAAGGUGAAAAGCACCCCGGAAGGGGAGUGAAAGAGAUCCUGAAACCGUGUGCCUACAAAUAGUCAGAGCCCGUUAACGGGUGAUGGCGUGCCUUUUGUAGAAUGAACCGGCGAGUUACGAUCCCGUGCGAGGUUAAGCUGAAGAGGCGGAGCCGCAGCGAAAGCGAGUCUGAAUAGGGCGUUUAGUACGUGGUCGUAGACCCGAAACCAGGUGAUCUACCCAUGUCCAGGGUGAAGUUCAGGUAACACUGAAUGGAGGCCCGAACCCACGCACGUUGAAAAGUGCGGGGAUGAGGUGUGGGUAGCGGAGAAAUUCCAAUCGAACCUGGAGAUAGCUGGUUCUCCCCGAAAUAGCUUUAGGGCUAGCCUUAAGUGUAAGAGUCUUGGAGGUAGAGCACUGAUUGGACUAGGGGUCCUCAUCGGAUUACCGAAUUCAGUCAAACUCCGAAUGCCAAUGACUUAUCCUUAGGAGUCAGACUGCGAGUGAUAAGAUCCGUAGUCAAAAGGGAAACAGCCCAGACCGCCAGCUAAGGUCCCAAAGUGUGUAUUAAGUGGAAAAGGAUGUGGAGUUGCUUAGACAACUAGGAUGUUGGCUUAGAAGCAGCCACCAUUUAAAGAGUGCGUAAUAGCUCACUAGUCGAGUGACUCUGCGCCGAAAAUGUACCGGGGCUAAAUACACCACCGAAGCUGCGGAUUGAUACCGAAUGGUAUCAGUGGUAGGGGAGCGUUCUAAGGACAGUGAAGUCAGACCGGAAGGACUGGUGGAGUGCUUAGAAGUGAGAAUGCCGGUAUGAGUAGCGAAAGACGGGUGAGAAUCCCGUCCACCGAAUGCCUAAGGUUUCCUGAGGAAGGCUCGUCCGCUCAGGGUUAGUCAGGACCUAAGCCGAGGCCGACAGGCGUAGGCGAUGGACAACAGGUUGAUAUUCCUGUACCACCUCUUUAUCGUUUGAGCAAUGGAGGGACGCAGAAGGAUAGAAGAAGCGUGCGAUUGGUUGUGCACGUCCAAGCAGUUAGGCUGAUAAGUAGGCAAAUCCGCUUAUCGUGAAGGCUGAGCUGUGAUGGGGAAGCUCCUUAUGGAGCGAAGUCUUUGAUUCCCCGCUGCCAAGAAAAGCUUCUAGCGAGAUAAAAGGUGCCUGUACCGCAAACCGACACAGGUAGGCGAGGAGAGAAUCCUAAGGUGUGCGAGAGAACUCUGGUUAAGGAACUCGGCAAAAUGACCCCGUAACUUCGGGAGAAGGGGUGCUUUCUUAACGGAAAGCCGCAGUGAAUAGGCCCAAGCGACUGUUUAGCAAAAACACAGCUCUCUGCGAAGCCGUAAGGCGAAGUAUAGGGGGUGACACCUGCCCGGUGCUGGAAGGUUAAGGAGAGGGGUUAGCGUAAGCGAAGCUCUGAACUGAAGCCCCAGUAAACGGCGGCCGUAACUAUAACGGUCCUAAGGUAGCGAAAUUCCUUGUCGGGUAAGUUCCGACCCGCACGAAAGGUGUAACGAUUUGGGCACUGUCUCAACCAGAGACUCGGUGAAAUUAUAGUACCUGUGAAGAUGCAGGUUACCCGCGACAGGACGGAAAGACCCCGUGGAGCUUUACUGUAGCCUGAUAUUGAAUUUUGGUACAGUUUGUACAGGAUAGGCGGGAGCCUUUGAAACCGGAGCGCUAGCUUCGGUGGAGGCGCUGGUGGGAUACCGCCCUGACUGUAUUGAAAUUCUAACCUACGGGUCUUAUCGACCCGGGAGACAGUGUCAGGUGGGCAGUUUGACUGGGGCGGUCGCCUCCUAAAGUGUAACGGAGGCGCCCAAAGGUUCCCUCAGAAUGGUUGGAAAUCAUUCGUAGAGUGCAAAGGCAUAAGGGAGCUUGACUGCGAGACCUACAAGUCGAGCAGGGACGAAAGUCGGGCUUAGUGAUCCGGUGGUUCCGCAUGGAAGGGCCAUCGCUCAACGGAUAAAAGCUACCCCGGGGAUAACAGGCUUAUCUCCCCCAAGAGUCCACAUCGACGGGGAGGUUUGGCACCUCGAUGUCGGCUCAUCGCAUCCUGGGGCUGUAGUCGGUCCCAAGGGUUGGGCUGUUCGCCCAUUAAAGCGGUACGCGAGCUGGGUUCAGAACGUCGUGAGACAGUUCGGUCCCUAUCCGUCGUGGGCGUAGGAAAUUUGAGAGGAGCUGUCCUUAGUACGAGAGGACCGGGAUGGACGCACCGCUGGUGUACCAGUUGUUCUGCCAAGGGCAUAGCUGGGUAGCUAUGUGCGGAAGGGAUAAGUGCUGAAAGCAUCUAAGCAUGAAGCCCCCCUCAAGAUGAGAUUUCCCAUAGCGUAAGCUAGUAAGAUCCCUGAAAGAUGAUCAGGUUGAUAGGUUCGAGGUGGAAGCAUGGUGACAUGUGGAGCUGACGAAUACUAAUAGAUCGAGGACUUAACCAU